rnacentral:lncRNA from 1 species
GAAGAAGGGAAGAGAGAACAGAAAACACCAGGAGACACAGUCAUUCCGCUGCUGUGAAAGUGUCAUGACUGUAUCUUAGUUGGAAGAAUGGUGAGGAAUAAUUACAGGUGCCAAUUCCAAAUAAUUUCCUCUGGCCCUUCAUUUUCAAUUAAUCGCUGCUCUGGCAUUAUGGCAUCUCCUUAUCGGAAUGUGCUUCCGUAACACUGGUAAUAAAUGCUUUCCCCGGAAAGUGACAUACAUCACUUCUAUACACAUUUCAUAGACCAAAGCUAGCCACAUGCCUACACCUCACUUCGAGGCUGAUGAAAUUUGAAGAAACCUGAGUUAUCUACAUCAGCUACCCUGAGAAAUUACAAGUGCCUUGAGGACAGAGAGCUUUUACUCAUCCCUCUUCCUCUCCAGGUAUCUCUUUUCCUGUUUAAGGUUCUCCACAUGUGCCUUUUUUUCCUGACUCGGUAAUUUCAUGUAUUUCAAAAACCAAAAAGACAUCGACAUGUAUACAGUAAGAAGUGCUGCUCCU